rfam:Beta vulgaris subsp. vulgaris contig101177.1, whole genome shotgun sequence.
CACAACAAUCCAUUCACUCGGAUCGUCCGGCACGUACCUGCCGGUGAAGGAGCAAUAG